AAUAAAUUUUUGUAGUUUGGAAAUUUAUUUAAAGUUUAUUUUACAUAUAAAUUUUAGUGUUAAUUUUAAAUUAUUUUAAAAAUAAUUUAUUUUAAUUUUAGUAAUUAAUAUUAAAUUAUUUAAGAAAUUAAUAUUUAGUAAUAUUUAAAUUAAUAACAAAUUUUGUGCCAGCAGUUGCGGUUAAACAAAGAUUGAAUUAAAUUUUAUUAGUUAAUUAAUAAAUAAAAAAUAAUUAUUUAAUGUAAAUUUUAAAUUAUUAGGUGAAAUUUUAAUUUAUUAAAAUAUUAAUUUACUUUUAUGAUUUAAUAAAUUUUUUUUUAUAAACUAGGAUUAGAUACCCUAUUAUUAAAAUUUUAAAAUUUAAAUACUAAAAUAGUAGAUAGUUAUUUAUUGAAACUUAAACAAUUUGGCGGUAUUUUAGUUCAUUUAGAGGAAUCUGUUUAAUAAUUGAUAAUCCACGAAUAAAUUUACUUAAUUUAAAAUUUUGUAUAUCGUUGUUAAAAAAAUAUUUUUUAAUAAUAAAUAAUAUUUAAAAAUUUAUAAUAAAAUUAAAUCAGAUCAAGAUGCAGAUUAUAAUUAAGAAUAUAAUGGAUUACAAUAAAUAUAUUUAAAUGAAUAUUAAUUUGAAAUAAUUAAUUGAAAUUGGAUUUAAAUGUAAUUUUAUUUAAUUUAAUAAAAUGAUUUUAAAUUGAAAUAUGUACAUAUUGCCCGUCGCUUUCAUAUAUGUAUAUAUAUAUAUAAAUUAUAUAGUAAAUUGAAAUAAGUCGUAACAAAGUAGAGGUACUGGAAAGUGUUUCUAGAAAGAC
rnacentral:ncRNA from 1 species